AUUGAACGCUGGCGGCAGGCCUAACACAUGCAAGUCGAGCGAGCGGCGGACGGGUGAGUAAUGCAUGGGGAUCUGCCUGAUGGAGGGGGAUAACUACUGGAAACGGUAGCUACUACCGCAUACCAUAAACUGAACCCAUAUGGGAUUAGGUAGUCGGUGAGGUAAAGGCCUACCUAGGCGACGAUCCCUAGCUGGUCUGAGAGGAUGACCAGCCAAACAGGGAGUGAGACACGGACCAGACUCAUACGGGAGGCAGCAGUGGGGAAUAUUGCACAAUGGGCGCAAGCCUGAUGCAGCCAGGCCGAGGGUAUGAAGAAGGCCUUCGGGUUGGAAAGUUCUUUCAGUGGGGAGGCGUUAUCUACAGAAGAAGCACCGGCUAACUCCGUGCCAGCAGCCGCGGUAAUAC
rnacentral:rRNA from 1 species